UACGGGGGGGAGCAAGCGUUGUUCGGAUUUACUGGGCGUAAAGGGCGCGUAGGCGGCGUGACUAGUCACUUGUGAAAUCUCCGGGCUUAACUCGGAACGGUCAAGUGAUACUGUCGUGCUAGAGUACAGAAGGGGCAACUGGAAUUCUCGGUGUAGCGGUGAAAUGCGUAGAUAUCGAGAGGAACACCUGCGGCGAAGGCGGGUUGCUGGGCUGAUACUGACGCUGAUGCGCGAAAGCCAGGGGAGCGAACGGG
rnacentral:rRNA from 1 species